UUCUCUGGCAAACUGUGUUAUUAGUAUAUUUGAAACGAAAAAUAAAACACAGUAAAAAUGUUUUACUCAACAUGUUUGGCUUUUCUAGUUCUUGUUGUAUAUUCGUCUCAAGCAAGUUCGAUUUGUUCUGAUGGCGCGACCUAUAUUCCACACGAAGACUGUACAAAAUUUUAUCAGUGUUCUAAUGGUAGACCUUAUACGUUUGACUGCCCAGCUGGACUGUAUUUUAAUCCUGGAAUUUUUGUUUGCGACUGGCCGGAGCAUUCUGGAUGUCAAGGAGUGAGAAGUUAAUUGUCAACUCUAUAUUGUUGUACAUAUUUAUUUGCUUAUUCGAUAAUACUUAAUGUAACGACAAAAUAAAUUAUCUUGGGAAGUUAA